ensembl:lncRNA PPBPP2 pro-platelet basic protein pseudogene 2
GAAUUCAGUAAGCUAAAAUCCAAAGUAAGCCUCUGAUGAUAAUUGGCUCUUAUUUUAUCCAUACGGUCCCAAAGAACAUCUGCUGUCUUUGGCGCAGGGCCAUAUAUUUGUGGUUUCAGGUGCCCCUAAAGUGUCUAUAGGAGCCUAUAAACAAAGCCUAUAAACUGUGUUGUAGGAAAGACAGCACAUAUUGUUACAGGCUCAUACAAAGAAAAUAUAUGUAGUGUUUCAGUCUAGUUCUUACCUUCCUAAGUAGAGUCCUUACACAUGUGUAAGGGAGAUAGGUAUUGAGAAAGGGAGAGUGGGAAUGUGAAGUGAUGCAUAACAUGCAACUUAGUAGGAAUUUUGACCUGUGUUGGGCACAGCUUGACAAGCUUGUGUGUGUGUAUCACCACAUACCCUCACUUCCCCCUUCCCUACCUCUUUCUCCUUACUGACUUCAAGGGAGAGCAUAUAAAUGACAUCAAGGGGUAUGAAAAGCCACUUAACUGCAGACUUGUAGGCAGCAACUCACCCUCAAGAGGAAGUCUUCAGGCUCUAGAAACAUCUUUAACUUCGGCUUCUGCACCAUAAGCCUCAGACUCAAUGCCACCCUGCAGCUGUGCCAGAUCACUUUGUGCCCUGCAGGUGCUGCUGUUGACUGUUCUGGGUUCCUCCACCAAUGGACAAACUAAGAGAAACAUAGGGAAAAGGAAAUGUAGAGAUCUGUUCCUUGCACCUGUUGCUGCUUCUGCUAUACCUGUAUCUGGGAGAAAGACUGGCUUGGUGCUCCUGGGGCUGGAGAGUGCCAUUAUAACAACAAAUCCAAGUGGAGGGGUCACAGAGAGGGGGCACUUCACAUUUGCUGGGCAUUCUGCUGGGCACUUUACUAAAGCUUUACAGAUCAUAUUCACAAUGGCUUUAUGAGAGAGGUACAAUUACCUUCAAUUUACAAUUGAGAGAACUGAGAAAAAUAUUCACGACCACUAAUAGAUCACUUUUUACCCCAGCUGUAAGUGUAGACAGUGACUUGUACACUGAACUGCGCUGCGUGUAUGUGAAGUCAACCUUUGUACUUCAUCCCAGAAACAUCCACAAUUUGGAGUUGGUCUCAGCAGGACCCCAUUGCAGCAAAGACGAAGUAAUGUAAGCCACUGCUUCUGUGCUAUCGCCUCAUCAGGGAAGCCCUCUACCUCCAUCCCCAUCUGCAUUCAUUUCCUCCAGUCUCACAGAUCCUUUCUGAUAUUCAGGCCAGGACACCCACAGAUAAUUCUAUUCUCUCUUGCAGAGCCACUCUGUAAGAUGGGAGAAAAAAUCUGCCUGGACCCAGAUGCUCCCAGAAUCAAUAAAAUUGUACAGAAAAUGUUGAAAGUUGAUGAAUUC